CGCUGUCUGUCUUUACAUGUGUGCAUAGACUUUUGGAUGUUACUGACCACUCUUACUUUUGUAUUUACUCUUGUGGCAAAUGGGUUAAUAUCACUGACUUGCUUGUUCAUUUUUAAUUGUUGACUGGAGUGGAGUUGUUUUUUCAUUUACAGAGGAAAGUGAAGAAGUGAAAAAGAACAGCAGCAAUAGAUCCUCUGUGUGAGUGAGCCCUGACCCUGAAGGCAACCCUGACCCGUGCAUUUACCUUGGAAUAUUUCAGACUACGAGAAAACUGCAUCUGUUAGUGUGAAUGGGGCCAGUUCGGAGAAACAUGUUGGUUGGUUGGUUGCUUGCCUGCAGACCCCUGUAAUUCCCUGUAAUUCAAGACCCUCCUUGUGUUCUGGUGUUGAUCCUUAAGACCCCAGGUAGAAGAAGCUGCCAGCCAAAAAGAUUGGUGGCAAAUGUCACCCGAAUAGGAAGAGGCAGCAAUGAGGAGCAGAUUUUAAGAGGGGAACCCCCUUUUGAGGUGGAGAGCUGAUUAAUGACUGACUAAUGCACCACCCACCCAAGCCCUUCUCUGUGUUCCACCCCGUGACUUGGAGGGUAGUGGAUGACAGAAGAUUCCCCUCAAGGUGGGUGCUGGGUUUUGUUGAGUGCAAUUAUGGAAGAGGGUUUGAUCGCUAUUUGCCUUUUCCAUUCCUUCCCGGCAACCUAGAGUUUUGUGGUUUGUUGCCUCAAGUAACUCCCUGGUGGUUAAAAAAAAAAAAAAAAAUCCAGGUGUAAGAGAGAAGAAGUGGUGGAGGGUUGCUACUGCUUCUUCUCUAUUUGAUUUGUUAACACUGUUGAGAGAGAAGGGAUGAUAUUUUUUGUGUGAGGGGUGGUAAGCAAUGUAGGUUAUGUGGUUUGUGGUUUCUGUUUGCAUCUGGGCUCUGACUCUCAGACUGGGACGGGCCUUAUGAUGAUUAAGAUGUCGGAGAUUGAUGGUCUAGAUUAAAAAAAAAAAUAAUAAUAUGGCAACUGCAGGAAGAAGAAUUGGCAGAUGUCCCCGUGUGGUUGGCUAGAUGGGAUCUCUGGAAAAGAACAAGACUUAAAAUACUUGUGGGGUCCACCACCAUUUUAUUUCCUUUUACUACACAGAAUGUAAUAAGCACUGAAUCCUAUAAAGGGGCAGUGUUGCAUUCAAAUAAUUAAUAAUUAGUCAACAGAUAUGUAUUUUGUUAUUGUCUUGCUCUUUGCCUGGAUAGAAAUUAAAAUGUUAAAUAAAAAAUCUGUUUCCCCUUACUUGUGUCCUAACACCAUCCACCUUACCACGUUUUACCACUACUCACCGCCAGCUGUCACAUGUUUCUCUUCCAUCUUAUUUGUCUCUCUCAAAGCAAGGUUCUUAUUUAUUAUUAUUAUUAUUAGUUUAUUUAGCAGACGCCUUUAUCCAAGGCGACUUACAGAGACUAGGGUGUGUGAACUAUGCAUCAGCUGCAGAGUCACUUACAAUUACGUCUCACCUGAAAGACGGAGCACAAGGAGGUUAAGUGACUUGCUCAGGGUCACACAAUGAGUCAGUGGUUGAGGUAGGAUUUGAACCCGGGACCUCCUGGUUACAAGCCCUUUUCUUUAACCACUGGACCACACAG